CCCCCGAGCAGGAGCGCACGGGUGGAAGAGAGAGGGAGGAGAGGACUGGAGAUAACCAUCGACGGAGGAGGCGGCCGGCGCGCGGGACCCGAAGAGCGGCAAGUUAAGAAAAGUAUCUAUUUAAUUUCCAAAGAUGUUCCCAACAUUCUAUCAUCCAGAUAUGCAGCAACGGAUAGUGACAGCUGACCUAACAGGAGACAGCGGAUCAUCCACGACCAUCCACGGAUCAGCUUCACGGAGACAGCGGAUCAUCCACGACCAUCCACGGAUCAGCUUCACGUGCUUACUACUUCAAACAUCUAACAGCAAUGGAAUACUGGAAAAAUAUGAUAGGCAGCAGAUCUGACCAGCUGCUAAUGGCGGAGUACCGCU